UACUCGUAGUAUUUCGGGACAGUGUAAGUCAAAUUAUUUCUUGGUCCAAGUGGCGCCCCUAUGUGCGAAGCUAGGAUUUCCGUGUUGACGAUUCUGAACUAUCUAAAAUGUAGAUUUCCCUACUAACACAGGUUAAAUAUGUGUUAAUGUACACAAGAGCCAAUAAACUAGUAAUUUUUUAUUUUAGUUUAAUGAUUCUCGGGUUUUAAAUGGCACUGUUCAAUCUAGAAACGUAAAGAUUAAAAUAUACAAAACUCUUUUAACUGUACAUGUUGUUUAGUUUUCUGUGACGGACUGUGCCCCAUGGAGGUACUUAUCUUUCUAUUCACCCGACGGACUGAUGAACGCGACAGAAAAACCUGUCAGAGUUCCUUGUAAUCGGUCCGAGAGAUGUUAUGGAUAGGCCUAUGAAUCGAAAUGUGACUGAUAACGCAAACUCACGAAUUAAGAGAUCGUAUUUGAACAUUUUAUCUAACCUACUUGUAAUUCCUCUUGCUUCUUCUGCUUCAAAGCAUGGCCACUCUAUGAUUUGGAACUGUUUUUCUGCUAAGCUCUGGGCACGAAGCUAGUACAUGGCGUAAUUUAAGAAGAAGUCUGUACCUAUGCUUGUAUCAGUUUCUUCGAAUCUGUGAUAUAUGUUACAAAAAGACGCUCUACUAUUGAACUCUAUGCUGGAAUACAAAGUGUUUGGAUACAGUUUUCUUGUGAUCGCGUUCAUUUGAAAGUAUUUGUGAUGUGAAGGAUUUGUACACGAUCACAGUUGAUACAGCGUUCAUCAAAGGCAGAACUUGGAGCCUCGCACCUGGCAAUAGGAGCGACGCGCAAACCCCGGGAAUCUGUGCCAUCUUUAUCACCACCAUCAUCAGAGGACUCAACCCACAACAAAAACAAUGGUUUGACUGGGAGACAUUUAGAACAGUCCAAGAAAGAGAGCUUGGCUCACUGGUUUGAAUCCAGCUCAGAAAAUUCCAAUUCAUCAGCCCACCGGUCAGUACACUUUUCAGGACGCAAUGCGUAUGAGUCCUCUUGCAACAGCUCUGCUCAUUCUGCUGCACGUAAGAAUCUGAAGAAGAACCAGACUGUUCCAUUUGUGACAGAUGUGAGACCAUGGAACCUUGUAUGGAAGAUGCAUAAUGCCAUGGCAAAGCAACUGUGUAACGCUGUCAUGAAGUUCAGUAUCGUAGCAUAUUCACCAGUCAAGAGAAGGAUGAA